UACGGGGGGGGCAAGCGUUGUUCGGAAUUACUGGGCGUAAAGGGCUCGUAGGCGGUCAAGUAAGUCGGACGUGAAAUCCCUCAGCUUAACUGGGGAACUGCGUCCGAUACUGGAUGGCUUGGAUUUGGGAGAGGGAUGCGGAAUUCCAGGUGUAGCGGUGAAAUGCGUAGAUAUCUGGAGGAACACCGAUGGCGAAGGCGGCAUCCUGGACCAAUAUUGACGCUGAGGAGCGAAAGCUAGGGGAGCAAACGGG
rnacentral:rRNA from 1 species